rnacentral:rRNA from 1 species
AGCGAACGUUAGCGGCGCGCUUAACACAUGCAAGUCGCACGAGAAAGGGCUUCGGCCCCGGUAAAGUGGCGCACGGGUGCGUAACACGUAGGCAAUCUUCCCUUGAGCGGGGGAUAACGUUUCGAAAGAGACGCUAAUACCGCAUAAGACCACGUCUGGUUCGCCAGAUGCGGUCAAAGCUGGCCUCUUCUUGAAAGCUAGCACUCGAGGACGAGCCUGCGGCCCAUCAGCUAGUUGGUAGUGUAAUGGACUACCAAGGCGAAGACGGGUAGCUGGUCUGAGAGGAUGAUCAGCCACACUGGAACUGAAACACGGUCCAGACUCCUACGGGAGGCAG